rnacentral:rRNA from 1 species
CCUACGGGAGGCAGCAGUGAGGAAUAUUGGUCAAUGGGCGCGAGCCUGAACCAGCCAAGUCGCGUGAGGGAAGACGGUCCUAUGGAUUGUAAACCUCUUUUGUCGGGGAGCAAAAGACGCCACGCGUGGCGUUCCGAGAGUACCCGAAGAAAAAGCAUCGGCUAACCCCGUGCCAGCAGCCGCGGUAAUACGGGGGAUGCGAGCGUUAACCGGAUUUAUUGGGUUUAAAGGGUGUGAGGGCGGAAGGUACAGUCGGAGGUAAAAUUUAGAGGCUCAACCUCUUAGAGCCGUUGAAACUGGUUUUCUUGAGUGGGCGUGAAGUAUGCGGAAUGCGUGGUGUAGCGGUGAAAUGCAUAGAUAUCACGCAGAACUCCGAUUGCGAAGGCAGCAUACCGGGGCCCAACUGACGCUGAAGCACGAAAGCGUGGGUAUCGAACAGGAUUAGAUACCCCAGUAGUC